CAGUCUUCACAACCCUAGGAAGGAAGUGCUGUGAACAACCCAUGUUGGGGGAAUGGAGGGUCAGAGAACUCAAGCAACUUUCCUGAGGUCACACAGACUGGUGAUCUGACUGGUACUUCACGAUACGGUCUGAUCACAUACUCAAGUCUCGAUGUCAUAGCUUGUUUGUCGGGGGUUCUUUCGAGUAAAGACGCGUUCAAUGAGGGAGAAGAGCGGCUGGUCUAGCGCAUCUCGGCCAAGGUCACGGUGUCCUUGCAAGACCAGCACCGCGCUUCCCAUCCCAUCACACAGAGAGCGGAAGAGACAUAUGCUCAAGGGCUGAGCGUUAAAAUAGUCACUUAUACAGCAUCGUCAAGGCAUUUCCUACGAACGGCUGGCAUUAUUAAUUAUUACCAUUAUUAUUUCCUGUGCACACAUGGCCUUGAAGUUCCCCGUGACCACGGGCACAGCUGGGAGCCACUGCUCUGAUUUGGGCUCAGACCCCAGCAGUUCGGCCAGCGCAGACUCCGCACCAUCGGUGCAGAUAUCCACGCGGGGAGAAGGUCAAGAACACACUGGCAUUUUCACGAAAACACUCUGGACCUUGUGACCCUUUAUAAAGGUUUUAGGGUUCCCCAGGAGACUGUGUACCACAUUUUAAAAAUUGCUAAAUUACAUGCUAUGUAAGGGCCAAAACAAAAAGCAAUUGUUUUACUAGAAAUGUAUGGGGACUCCAGGAACACAUAAAAACAACCCAAGCCCAGGCCCUAGCGGUGGGAGCGAUAUCUUUAGCCAUGGAAGUGGCCCAAAUCUGUGAUGUACUUGGAGAGCUUUACCUACAAAGAGCCAGCAUGUUAAGUUAUAAAGAGCAACUAGCAUCUUCAGUUUGAGAGACUGUAUCCAGCAGAUCGCGCGUGAAGAACGAAUAGAGAUGAGGGUCUAGACCAGCGCCGGCGCACUGCUGGCUUGAGGAAGCAGUGGGCUUCUCUGCUGAACAUGUUUCUCCUACUUCCAUACCCUUGAUCCCACUGGGGAUGGUGCAAGGAAGAGUACGUGAAUCGCAGUAUAAUUGGAAUUGCAGGUGAAGUCUUCCAAUCCUUACAGCUGUGCUAUAUUAAAGGACAGGAAUAGAAUGAAAGACUGGCCCUCAUCAGCUCUGCUACAGUCUGAUAUUCCAACUGUCUUCCUGUCCAACAACCUGGGGUUCAGUUAACGCACCUGGUUUACUACGAAGGUUGACAAUCGGAGAGAGCAGGGCAUGCUUAUGCCUCGUUCAACAUGAAUAGGGAUGUUCAACAAAUCAGCAAAACUGCAUUAUUUUAUGACUCAACAGUUGGUUCAGUUUAAAUCCCUAGGGAAAAAAGGCAUAGAAAAAUAGUACCAUGAGUGUGAAAUAGUUACCUUCAGUAACGAAUGGGUAGCUGGAACUUAAAGGAUGCUUUUGAGCAGCUGACUAACAAUGCGGAAACCACCGCUAACUGGGAUUUUUGCAAGUUGCGUCAUCACCUGGAGCGCCCCCUGCGGUGACGGCAGGUCCUUCUGGAUGAAACCCUGUUUCUCCCUCCUUCCACCGGAAUCAUCUCCGCCUGUCCCUUCUCCACCUCCCCCCCAUCCCGCCUUUCCCGAAGACCAGCCAGGACCCUGUUGAGUAGAUGUGAGCUGCUCCACCAUGGUGCAUUAUAUAUAAAUGGGACACACCCGUAUGCAGGCGUGUUCCACGUCAGCGUGUGGGAAUCUACACGGCCGUGUCCACGUGGGUUGCUGUAAAAGCUUUGACAUUGUAAUUCUUCCAUAAAAUUGGAAAAUAAUUCAUUAUAAUUGCAAGACAAUAUGCUUUCUAGGUGAGUUUCCAAGUAAUCUCUUAGCAAUACUAGGUUAAGCCAGGGAUUCUCUGAAUGCCAAUCGGAAACACUUUGAGGCCUUUUAGAAAAUGCGGAUAAGUUCUUCAAGAGAUUGGGUCAGCUAGUCUGGGAGGGGGCCUGCACACUGGAAUGUUCUAAAGGCUUCGGGUGAUUCUCUUGUGAACUAUUCUUACCUAAACUAUUUUUGCAGGUAGGUUGUGAAAAUAGCAAACUCUCUAGUCAGAAAGUUCAUUUUUGUCCAUUUAGAAUGAAUCAAUCCUAUAGACCUGGGAAAACAGCUUUUAAAAAGUUAACACCUCUGGUUUUCCAUUAAAAUAUAAUUAAAAUUACUGGAUACAGGAAGCUUUAGUUAUCCUAAAAGUUCCAUCCCGGUAAAAUAUUUGUUCUGUAUAUUUUAAAGAGGACUGGGGUGGAGGGCGUUAAAUUAUGCUUUAAUUCCAUCCCAUCAAUGAGAAUAUGAGAAAAAAGGAAGGCCUUAUUUCAAGCACGUAUUAGCCGCGUGUGCAUUCAUGGAAACUAAGAAUGUGUCUCAGGCGCUGCUUUUAUAGUAAGGCAAAUUGGUGUUUUGAUCUCUGUUUAUUAUAAAGCAGAUAGUAGCCUAAAUAGUCUAGCCAUUUUUCCCCCGUUUUGUUGAGAUAUGAUUGGCAUACGGCACUAUGUAAGAUUAGUGAUUUGACUUACAUACAUCAUGGAAUGAUCAUCAUCUCAUAGAGAUACAACAUUAAAGAAAUAGAAAAAAGUAUUUUUUCCUUGUGAUGAGAACUCAGGAUUUACUCUCAACAACCUUUGUAUACAACAAACAGCAGUGCUAAUUAUAUAUAUAUAUCAAUUAUUAAUAAUGUGAUUAUAAUUAGUCAGAAAUUAUUGUACUUAUUUCUCUUAUAACUGGAAGUUUGUACCUUUUGACAGCCUUCCUCCAAUUCCCCCCUCCCCCUCCUCUGUAAGCACAGAUCUGAUCUCUUUUUCUCUGAGUUUCCUGGUUUGUUUCUGAAGUGUAAUUGACUGACUACGCUAUGUUAGUUUCUGUUUCACAACACAGUGAUUGGAUAUUUUCAUACAUUUCAAAGUGAUGACCAUGAGAAGCCUAGUUGCCAUCUGUCGCCAUACAGAGAUACAGUUUUUGAAAUGCCUAUCUUGAGGGAAUCUGUGAGGCUGAGAAGUCGCUUUCUUUCCUGGGAAUCCCUGAGAACUUUCUUAAUCUUCAUACUGACAUUUGCCUUUCGUCACACUUUGUAGUAUAAUCAAAAAUUUCUAUUUUGACCUUCCAGGUUCAAGAAUAAGUUCUAAAAAUGAAGAGUUGGCAGGAUGGUUAUACAAAAGGAAGGAGCGACGUGGGUGAAGCAGUGAGUCAACUGCUCCAUAUUAUAAAAAUCUAACAACAAGUAGUCGUCUGUUGUGACACAGGCGUUACCUUGCAGCAUUAGGGAAUGGAUGUGACCUUGCCAACGUUUGCAUUUUGUGUACAAGUUAGGCAUCACCAAGGGGUGAAACAUUUCAGGGAUGACUGAGGCUCUGAGCGAGCACGUGGAAAUACACUUCCUGCAGAAUUAUCCUUCCCAUUACCCUGAUUUACCAGAGGGCAGUGUGCAGGACGCGGCGCCCAAGCAUUACUGGCGCUCAGGACUAGAAGGACCCGGGUUCUCGGGUGCUGUGAGAGAAAAGGGGGCCGUUUCUUUAGGAGCUUGUGUCCCAUCAGAUUGAAGGGGCGCUCUAGGCUUCGGGGGCGGGGAGUACUUGGGAGAGAAAGGGGUCUGCCCAGGCCCGCCUCGGGGACCCCAGAACAAAGAAGAUGCUCUGUUGCCCCUCUGUCCUCCCUCCUCGCUGUGGGAGGACCCCGAGCGUCUUUUGGGCCCAUCCCUGGGCCCCAGCUAUGAGGAACAGACAAUUCCGGCCCAGGCACCCAGACUUGGGGCCGUCGGAAUGGAGCGGCUGGACCCGCUGCCCCCUGCUCUCGCUCUGGGCCUCACUGUGGACUGGCGUGGCCGCGGACAGAUGGGCGGACCUCAGCGGUGCCAGCCGGUUCCGCUGCGAUAGCGGGUCUUUCUUUUCCUGGGGAGCUACCCCCAGUCUCACUACUGAGGCCACGGGAAAGGCGUGCUGCCAGAGGCCAAGUUCUCUGGGUAGAGGCCUGGGCACCUGGGGAGGCCGGAGGAGGAGCGGAGCUGCGCUCUCUGCCCCCUCCUGGUGCCCUGGGAUCUGCAAAGCUGCCAC